ensembl:lncRNA
AGGAUGGAAGCCUACCAAGAGCUUUCCUGAAAAUACCGAGGAAGAUGUCAUUAGCAGGUGAUGCUGCCCAGCUGUCUCAUGAGAAUACAUGGUCCAGUCACUGGAAUUCAGUCCAUCUGUAGCUCAGCAAAGGGCUCACCAUUCCAGACCACAUUCAUUUUGCCUAAAUCUGGCCAAAGAAGGACUGUGCAUGAUUAGUAUAUACAAUAGAAUUGAAAUGGAGAACCAGGGGUGAAAUCAUAGGUUGACUGAUGUCAUGAAAAUAAUGUCCAUAGAGGAGGACUUCAUGCCAAAACCCAGGAGCAGACAGAUUUCUGAGAAAGAUCUUGAUCAUCAAUAACUCCUGCUAAUUCAGUGUAAAUCAUAGAAACAGAUGGAAGGCACUGGGUGCUGGCUUGGCUUCUUCUGACAAGGCUGUGCCAAAGAAGAGUUUGAAAUUUUGGGACAAAAUUGCCUUCUCUCAUAUCAGACUGAACAAAGCAGCUAUGUCCAGAGAUAUGCUUCCCUAUGAAAAGGAAAAUUAAUCUUCACGUUUUUAUUUAUGGAGGACAAGUUGGUACUUACAUGCAUCCCUGCCUCAUUGCCAGGGCAUACUGUAAUACCAGCAUUGAGAUGCAACCAGACCAGGCUCCCCUCCAGUCUGUUCUCUGAGCCCAGCCAUCUCUCGAGAAGCCUUGAUCCAUCCAUAAAGGUGUGAUCACCACCUGAGGUUGAGCAUCUCACCAGCUUGGUCCAGCUCUGCCUGCAGAAAUGUUGCAGAAUGUGUCUCAGCCAGGAACAGUUCCCACCACUUCCCAUCAAAGCAUCC